rnacentral:misc_RNA from 1 species
CAAUCCGAGAAUUUCACCUCCAACGAUUGAAUACUGAUGCCCCCGACUGUCCCUAUUAAUCAUUACGGCGGUCCUAGAAACCAACGAAAUAAGACCACACGUCCUAUUCCAUUAUUCCAUGCUAAUCUAUUCGAGCAUAGGCCUGCCUGGAGCACUCUAAUUUUUUCACAGUAAACGUCCUGUUUCCCCGACACCCCCAGUGAAGGAGAUGCGGUUCCGCAGAAGGUGAAGGCCCGGCCGAACCAGUGCACGCGGUGAGGCGGACCGGUCGGCCGGAGCCCGAGCUUCUACUACGAGCUUUUUAACCACAACAACUUUAAUAUACGCUAUUGGAGCUGGAAUUACCGC